UGCGUCAAGGUGAAUUUGGGGUUGCCAUGGGGAGCCCCUUUUCUCUUAAAAACACCAUCACAUCUGGAAUCGUCAGCUCUGCUCAGAGAGGCAGUAAAGAACUGGGUCUCUCCAACUCCAACAUGGACUACAUCCAGACGGACGCUACCAUAGAUUUUGGAAAUUCAGGAGGGCCUCUCAUAAACCUGUGAGAAAGGACCCACAUUUGUGGACUACAGUGGUCUUCUAACACGCAACAAAAAUGUUUGUGAGGAACAUUUUUACCCGAGAGCUUUUCGCAUCUGGAAAUG